GACGAACGCUGGCGGCGUGCUUAACACAUGCAAGUCGAACGGAAAGGCCCUGCUUUUGUGGGGUGCUCGAGUGGCGAACGGGUGAGUAACACGUGAGUAACCUGCCCUUGACUUUGGGAUAACUUCAGGAAACUGGGGCUAAUACCGGAUAGGAGCUCCUGCUGCAUGGUGGGGGUUGGAAAGUUUCGGCGGUUGGGGAUGGACUCGCGGCUUAUCAGCUUGUUGGUGGGGUAGUGGCUUACCAAGGCUUUGACGGGUAGCCGGCCUGAGAGGGUGACCGGCCACAUUGGGACUGAGAUACGGCCCAGACUCCUACGGGAGGCAGCAGUGGGGAAUAUUGCACAAUGGGCGGAAGCCUGAUGCAGCAACGCCGCGUGCGGGAUGACGGCCUUCGGGUUGUAAACCGCUUUCGCCUGUGACGAAGCGUAAGUGACGGUAAUGGGAGAAGAAGCACCGGCUAACUACGUG
rnacentral:rRNA from 1 species